GAUGAACGCUGGCGGCGUGCCUAAUACAUGCAAGUCGAGCGAACAGACGAGGAGCUUGCUCCUCUGACGUUAGCGGCGGACGGGUGAGUAACACGUGGAUAACCUACCUAUAAGACUGGGAUAACUUCGGGAAACCGGAGCUAAUACCGGAUAAUAUAUUGAACCGCAUGGUUCAAUAGUGAAAGACGGUUUUGCUGUCACUUAUAGAUGGAUCCGCGCCGCAUUAGCUAGUUGGUAAGGUAACGGCUUACCAAGGCAACGAUGCGUAGCCGACCUGAGAGGGUGAUCGGCCACACUGGAACUGAGACACGGUCCAGACUCCUACGGGAGGCAGCAGUAGAGAAUCUUCCGCAAUGGGCGGAAGCCUGACGGAGCAACGCCGCGUGAGUGAUGAAGGUCUUCGGAUCGUAAAACUCUGUUAUUAGGGAAGAACAAAUGUGUAAGUAACUAUGCACGUCUUGACGGUACCUAAUCAGAAAGCCACGGCUAACUACGUG
rnacentral:rRNA from 1 species